GGAGAGUUUGCCGUUCAGUGGUAGGACAUCUGCUUUGCAUGCAGAAGGUCCCAGGCUCAAACCUUGGCAUCUCCA